UACGGAGGGUGCGAGCGUUGUCCGGAAUCACUGGGCGUAAAGGGCGCGUAGGCGGCCUGAUAAGUAGGGGGUGAAAUCCUGCGGCUUAACCGCAGGGCUGCCUUCUAAACUGUCAGGCUUGAGCACAGUAGAGGCAGGUGGAAUUCCCGGUGUAGCGGUGAAAUGCGCAGAUAUCGGGAGGAACACCAGUGGCGAAGGCGGCGCUCUGGGCCGGAACUGACGCUGAGGAGCGAAAGCGUGGGUAGCAAACAGG
rnacentral:rRNA from 1 species